rnacentral:lncRNA from 1 species
CCACAUUUAUUAGAGUCCUUGGAGUCCCCACUAAUCACCAUUAGAUCAUAUUUUAAUCCUACGGUUCAUAGAGAAGAUGGGGUUAUUAUUUUUUUAAAACAAAAAUUGUAUGAUUUUCCAAAACAAGCGUCUUAUCUCCACUGCUAAUAACAAGGAGGGUUGCUGGGCAGUUAUAAUUUUCAAAUUAAUUGUGAUAGCUGAUAUCGUGCAACUUAUUUGAUCUUGCAACACAGAGAUCUUCUCGAC